rnacentral:rRNA from 1 species
CGGAGGAAAAGAAACCAACAGGGAUUGCCCUAGUAACGGCGAGUGAAGCGGCAACAGCUCAAAUUUGAAAUCUGGCCCUCGGGUCCGAGUUGUAAUUUGUAGAGGAUGCUUUUGGCGCGGUGCCUUCCGAGUUCCCUGGAACGGGACGCCUUAGAGGGUGAGAGCCCCGUACGGUUGGACACCAAGCCUCUGUAAAGCUCCUUCGACGAGUCGAGUAGCUUGGGAAUGCUGCUCUAAAUGGGAGGUAAAUUUCUUCUAAAGCUAAAUAUUGGCCAGAGACCGAUAGCGCACAAGUAGAGUGAUCGAAAGAUGAAAAGCACUUUGAAAAGAGGGUUAAACAGCACGUGAAAUUGUUGAAAGGGAAGCGUUUGCGACCAGACCUUUUCCUAGCGGAUCAUCCGGUGUUCUCACCGGUGCACUUCGCUAGGUCUAGGCCAGCAUCGGUUUCUGUAGGGGGAUAAAAGCUCUGGGAACGUAGCUCCUCCGGGAGUGUUAUAGCCCUCUGCAUAAUACCCUUAGGGGGACCGAGGACCGCGCUUCGGCAAGGAUGCUGGCGUAAUGGUCGUCAACGACCCGUCUUGAA